UGUGUGUGUGUGUGUGUGUGUGUGUAUGAGACUGAGGGUUGUAAGUCUGCCAGAGUCCAUGAACCAGCCCCGACUGAUGUCUUAUUACAGGCCUUUUAAGUGUGUCAAUGGUGUGGCACUUUAAAUACGUCUUAAAUGUACAGGUUCAGCAACAAUAACCCACACAGGUGUAUCCAAUGUGUCACUCAGAUAUUCCAUAUGUGCCUGUGUACUAUGGCUGACUGAGCGGAGGAAUGAAACAUGCUUCUCUUCUCUAGCCACUGGAUCCCUUCAUGUUACUAUUCAGCUCGGAGAUAUGCAGCAAAAUGUCCUGGAAUUUCUAUGCAAACCAUAUGUUUUUUGAGGAAGAGAAAAAAUGUCCAAGUGCAGGCCAAAUGCAAGUGGUGUGUGGAGAAAAAGAGUGUGAGAGAGAGAAAAGAGAGGGAGAGAGAGAGAAAAGAGAGGGAGAGAGAGAGAAAUGCAGAUGAUGGAUUGCGUUUUGGAACAGAAAGGGAAAAGGACGAGUUCAGCACAUAUGGACUAAGCUUUGGAAUAAGAUCUUCGUUGUGUUGUACAGGUCAUGAUUUCCAACAUUGUAACACUUUAAGCUUGCUGUAUAUAAUGGCUUCAGCCCAGGUAUUUCUGUACUAAUAAUUGUGUUUAAAGUUCACUGAGAGUUUGAUCUGCACUUGACCAAAUACACCAUAUUGGAGUACUGAACCACAGCUGUCAUCAGCACAGUGACAUGUUUAAACAGUAAAGCAAAGUAAAUCUAACAUAUUAUUGUAAUUGCAUUGCACAACUAUCUUUCAAUCACUGCCAGGAAUCAUCUGUCUCAAAUAUGGAACCUCCACAAUGGUUCACACGCUCAGCCAGUGAUCUCGACGAGUGACCUGGGCUAGUGGUUCAACGUCCCUCAGCAGUUCCAAGAAUGUUCUUCACGUUCAGACCCCGAGCAGUCAACUGGACGCCUCAUUGUUAGUGUAGAGCUUCUGUAGAAGCAGCAUCAUCCAUGUUACAAGAAGUUAACAAACUCAUGGAGCCCUUGGCACUUGGCAGAGAUAACCUCACCUCACACCCAGAUACUAUCACAGUGACAGAAAGGGGAGAAGAUUCCUAUCUUUUGUGGAAUGGUGAAAUUUGCCAAGGCAGUGGGCAGAGUUGGUGUGUGGCCUCACGCAACCUGGCACACCUAGAAUGCUGCGUAAAAUGGAUAGGAUUAUUUACUGCCUCUUCCGUUUCAAAAAUAUUUGAAAGUAUUUCAUCAGUCAUCACAUGCUCUAAGUCAGCAAAAGUAUAUUAUGAAUGAACUGCCGCAAAGUGCUUGACAUUUUAAUACACGUAAAGUACGU